rnacentral:tRNA from 1 species
GGGAAGGUAGCUCAGUGGUAGAGUGCUUGCCUUGCAUGCAUGAGGCCCUGGGUUCAAUUUCCCAGCACCA